rnacentral:lncRNA from 1 species
UCAACCGUGGCUAUGAACUUGGAGCAUGCCAGCUCCACUUCACUUAGACAUUCCCAAAAAUAUGAGCAUAGGAAAAAUACUCAAAGAAUUUGAAUUUUAUUGAAAUCAUACAGCAGACAAAAGAAAAUGAAACAAAGAAAAUACCUGUAGGCUGAUUUGUUGCUAUAGAUUUCUUCCCAUUCUCCAGUAUGGAAAUUUAUUUUAUUCAUUAAUAUUUAUCUUUGAGGCAUAUGUAUAAGUUAUUACUUCAGCUUUUUAAAUUUUAGUUAGCAUGUUAUGAAUAAAAUAUUUGCCCUAUCUGCAAUUUUAUCUUGUACUGUAUUUCUAAUAGGAUAACUAAUUUGGCUUUUUUUCUUAACUCAAGCCUCCCUUUUAUAGUAUGAUUUAAAAUCCCUUACAAGUCACUUCAUAAUUUCCAGUUCUUUUCAGAAGUGUACUUUACCCUGCUCUUCUUUCUGCUUGCU